rnacentral:rRNA from 1 species
UACGUAGGUGGCGAGCGUUGUCCGGAUUUACUGGGCGUAAAGAGCGCGCAGGUGGUCGUUCAAGUCGCGUGUGAAAGCCCCCGGCUCAACUGGGGAGGGUCACGCGAUACUGAUCGACUCGAAGGCAGGAGAGGGUAGUGGAAUUCCCGGUGUAGUGGUGAAAUGCGUAGAUAUCGGGAGGAACACCAGUGGCGAAGGCGACUACCUGGCCUGUUCUUGACGCUGAGGCGCGAAAGCUAGGGGAGCAAACGGG